ACACGGAGGGCUCAAGCGUUGCUGGGAAUCACUGGGCGUAAAGCGGGUGUAGGCGGUCUAGCAAGUCAGAUGUGAAAGCCCACGGCUCAACCGUGGAAGUGCAUCUGAAACUGCUAGACUUGAGUGCCGGAGAGGGAAGUGGAAUUCCUGGUGUAGGGGUGAAAUCCGUAGAUAUCAGGAGGAACACCGGUGGCGAAGGCGACUUCCUGGACGGCCACUGACGCUGAGACCCGAAAGCGUGGGGAGCAAACAGGAUUAGAAACCCUAGUAGUCC
rnacentral:rRNA from 1 species